AUUGAACGCUAGCGGGAGGCUUAACACAUGCAAGUCGAACGAGCGGCGGACGGGUGAGUAAUAUCUGGGAAAGUGCCUAGUGGAGGGGGAUAACUACUCGAAACGGUAGCUAAUACCGCAUACCAUCGGAUCUGCCCAGAUGGGAUUAGCUAGUAGGUGGGGUAAUGGCUCACCUAGGCGACGAUCCCUAGCUGGUUUGAGAGGAUGACCAGCCACACUGGAACUGAGACACGGCCCAGACUCCUACGGGAGGCAGCAGUGGGGAAUAUUGCACAAUGGGCGAAAGCCUGAUGCAGCCAUGCCGCGUGUGUGAAGAAGGCCUUCGGGUUGUAAAGCACUUUCAGCGAGGAGGCGGUAUCUGCAGAAGAAGCACCGGCUAACUCCGUGCCAGCAGCCGCGGUAAUUC
rnacentral:rRNA from 1 species